AACACCUCAAAGACUUUCAAUUUGUUUUGGAAUUCUUUGGACUUGAGCAAUCCCAACACCAGUCUUUACGAUCGGCGGAGGGUUGCUUGAAAUGCAGGUGCAGCUGGACAUUCUCCUGAGCUAUAAGCAUAUUUAUUUAGUCCCGUCAAACGGAUUAUUACUUUUGCUGCAGCUAACAUAAAGGGAGUCUGACCGUAUUGGCUGACUGAUGCAGGAUUUCACAAGGGUCGGCAACGCCUCUUGUAAA
rnacentral:misc_RNA from 1 species